CCUGGCUCAGGAUGAACGCUGGCGGCGUGCUUAACACAUGCAAGUCGAGCGAAGCACUUUUGCGGAUUUCUUCGGAUUGAAGCAAUUGUGACUGAGCGGCGGACGGGUGAGUAACGCGUGGGUAACCUGCCUCAUACAGGGGGAUAACAGUUGGAAACGGCUGCUAAUACCGCAUAAGCGCACAGUACCGCAUGGUACCGUGUGAAAAACUCCGGUGGUAUGAGAUGGACCCGCGUCUGAUUAGCUGGUUGGUGGGGUAACGGCCUACCAAGGCGACGAUCAGUAGCCGACCUGAGAGGGUGACCGGCCACAUUGGGACUGAGACACGGCCCAAACUCCUACGGGAGGCAGCAGUGGGGAAUAUUGCACAAUGGGGGAAACCCUGAUGCAGCGACGCCGCGUGAGCGAUGAAGUAUUUCGGUAUGUAAAGCUCUACCAGCAGGGAAGAAAAUGACGGUACCUGACUAAGAAGCCCCGGCUAACUACGUGCCAGCAGCCGCGGUAAUACGUAGGGGGCAAGCGUUAUCCGGAUUUACUGGGUGUAAAGGGAGCGUAGACGGCAUGGCAAGCCAGAUGUGAAAGCCCGGGGCUUAACCCCGGGACUGCAUUUGGAACUGUCAGGCUAGAGUGUCGGAGAGGAAAGCGGAAUUCCUAGUGUAGCGGUGAAAUGCGUAGAUAUUAGGAGGAACACCAGUGGCGAAGGCGGCUUUCUGGACGAUGACUGACGUUGAGGCUCGAAAGCGUGGGGAGCAAACAGGAUUAGAUACCCUAGUAGUCCACGCCGUAAACGAUGAAUACUAGGUGUCGGGUGGCAAAGCCAUUCGGUGCCGCAGCAAACGCAAUAAGUAUUCCACCUGGGGAGUACGUUCGCAAGAAUGAAACUCAAAGGAAUUGACGGGGACCCGCACAAGCGGUGGAGCAUGUGGUUUAAUUCGAAGCAACGCGAAGAACCUUACCUGGUCUUGACAUCCCUCUGACCACUCUUUAAUCGGAGCUUUCCUUCGGGACAGGGGAGACAGGUGGUGCAUGGUUGUCGUCAGCUCGUGUCGUGAGAUGUUGGGUUAAGUCCCGCAACGAGCGCAACCCCUAUCUUUAGUAGCCAGCAUUUAAGGUGGGCACUCUAGAGAGACUGCCAGGGAUAACCUGGAGGAAGGUGGGGAUGACGUCAAAUCAUCAUGCCCCUUAUGACCAGGGCUACACACGUGCUACAAUGGCGUAAACAAAGGGAAGCGAGCCCGCGAGGGGGAGCAAAUCCCAAAAAUAACGUCUCAGUUCGGAUUGUAGUCUGCAACUCGACUACAUGAAGCUGGAAUCGCUAGUAAUCGCGAAUCAGAAUGUCGCGGUGAAUACGUUCCCGGGUCUUGUACACACCGCC
rnacentral:rRNA from 1 species